UCUUUGGAUAAAAUAUUUUGAGCUGGUCUUGGAAACAUAAGGUUAAAUAUUUAAAGUGAGGUGAACAAAUAAAAUUAGAUAAACAUAUGGAUGAGUAGAGGAGGUAGGGUGAGACCAGGAGUAAAUUGAACCUAACAAACUGAGGAAUCAGAAAUACACUUUUUUUU